UACGUAGGGUGCAAGCGUUGUCCGGAAUUAUUGGGCGUAAAGAGCUCGUAGGCGGUCUGUUGCGUCGACUGUGAAAACCCGGGGCUCAACUCCGGGCCUGCAGUCGAUACGGGCAGACUAGAGUUCGGCAGGGGAGACUGGAAUUCCUGGUGUAGCGGUGAAAUGCGCAGAUAUCAGGAGGAACACCGGUGGCGAAGGCGGGUCUCUGGGCCGAAACUGACGCUGAGGAGCGAAAGCGUGGGGAGCGAACAGG
rnacentral:rRNA from 1 species